GUUAUACACGUGUUUUUCACAUCAUAAACUCAUAAACCAUUAUUACAGUCAAGGAAAGAAACAAUCAAAACUUUCAACAACGGAUCUCUUGGUUCUCGCAUCGAUGAAGAACGCAGCGAAAUGCGAUACGUAAUAUGAAUUGCAGAUUUUCGUGAAUCAUCGAAUCUUUGAACGCACAUUGCGCCCUGUGGUAUUCCACAGGGCAUGCCUGUUUGAGCGUCAUUUCUCUCUCAAGCCUUUGGCUUGGUGUUGAGUUUGCUCGGCUUACUUGAAAAGUAUGUGUGCAUUUGUUUUAGGUACAACCAUGUCAAAUGCAUUACCCACCCCAAGUUUGACCUCAAAUCAGGUAGGACUACCCGCUGAACUUAAGCAUAUCAAUAAG
rnacentral:sRNA from 1 species